rnacentral:rRNA from 1 species
GGAGCCGAUGAAGGACGUGAUAAGCUGCGAUAAGCUUCGGGGAGUUGCACGUAAACUUUGAUCCGAAGAUUUCCGAAUGAGGAAACUCACUUAGAGUAAUGUCUAAGUAUCAUUAAGUGAAUACAUAGCUUAAUGAGGGGAACUCAGGGAACUGAAACAUCUAAGUACCUGAAGGAAGAGAAAGAAAUUCGAUUCCGUAAGUAGCGGCGAGCGAACGCGGAUUAGCCCAAACCAAUAAAGUUUUCUUUAUUGGGGUUGCGGAC